rnacentral:lncRNA from 10 species
CAGGAUGUGGGUGGGGCCAGAUAAGAGAGUAAAAGCAGGUUGCCUGAGCCAGCAGUGGCAACCCCCUUGGGUUACCUUCCACACUGUGGAAACUUUGUUAUUUCGCUCUUUGCAGUAAAUCUUGCUGCUGUUCACUCUUUGGGUCCACACUGCCUUUAUGAGCUGUAACACUCACCAUGAAGGUCUGCAGCUUCACUCCUGAAGCCAGCGAGACCACAAACCCACCGGGAGGAAUGAACAGCUGCAGACGCGCGGCCUUAAGAGCUGUAACACUCACCAGGAAGGUCCGCAGCUUCACUCCUAAGCCAGCGAGACCAGGAACCCCACCAGAAGGAAAAAACUCCGAACACAUCUGAACAUCAGAAGGAACAAACUCCGGACACGCUGCCUUUGAGAACUGUGACACUCACCGUGAGGGUCCGCGGCUUCAUUCCUGAAGUCAGUGAGACCAAGAACCCACCAAUUCCGGACAUGUUUCCUCACUUCCUUUAUAGCUUAUUUAAAUGUGACUUUCUCGAGGUUGUCUUUGACCAUCCUUUGUGAAACAGCACUCCUAUCAAUGUCACCUUCCCCUGCUUGGUUUUUGUUAUUAGCACUUAUUGCCAUCUCUGGCAGAGAUUUAUAGCACAUUAAAUAUCCAUUUGCUACCAGCUCCUUUCAUAUAACCCUUGCAAUUAGGUCAGGCCCUAUAAACAAUGGGCUGUGAGCAAAAAGGGGCAUAUACACAUCUAGGCAAAAGCACCAAAUGCAACCCUCCAGCUCUGUCUUCCCCUGCUGCAGUGAUCUAGACCACAUGUUGCAGUGGUGAAGCCACAGAGUGGACACAGCCUAAAUCACUGAGUCACUGCCUGGGUCAGCUGUUCUGGGAAGUUGCCUGG